rnacentral:rRNA from 1 species
GGGUUGUGAGGUUAAGCGACUAAGCGUACACGGUGGAUGCCCUGGCAGUCAGAGGCGAUGAAGGACGUGCUAAUCUGCGAUAAGCGUCGGUAAGGUGAUAUGAACCGUUAUAACCGGCGAUUUCCGAAUGGGGAAACCCAGUGUGAUUCGUCACACUAUCAUUAACUGAAUCCAUAGGUUAAUGAGGCGAACCGGGGGAACUGAAACAUCUAAGUACCCCGAGGAAAAGAAAUCAACCGAGAUUCCCCCAGUAGCGGCGAGCGAACGGGGAGGAGCCCAGAGCCUGAAUCAGUGUGUGUGUUAGUGGAAGCGUCUGGAAAGGCGCGCGAUACAGGGUGACAGCCCCGUACACAAAAAUGCACAUGCUGUGAGCUCGAUGAGUAGGGCGGGACACGUGGUAUCCUGUCUGAAUAUGGGGGGACCAUCCUCCAAGGCUAAAUACUCCUGACUGACCGAUAGUGAACCAGUACCGUGAGGGAAAG